rnacentral:lncRNA from 1 species
CUUACUUAAAUCAUAUACAAGGUAGGGAUUUCUACCACAUAUUUCAUACUCAUCAUACAUCAUCUUAAGAGCAUAAACCAACAAAGAGAACAAGAAAUCUUAAGGCCUUUUUCAUCAAUAGGUUCUGCCACUUUUGGAAGAUGAAGAAGAAAAUGUUUUCCUCAUCAAUUCAACAUAUAAGCAUGCUUAGAAAUCUCCCAAGAACACAUUUAUACCACCAAAAUUCAAUAAUCAAAUCAUUUCAUAUAAAAUUCCCAAUUUUCACAAAAUAGUAGAAACUUCACAAAAUCAAAAAUUUAAACAAGGUAAGAGGAUUUAUGAACACUUACCUUAAACAUAAGCUCUAACAAGCUUAAAUCAAACUCUUGAAGCCUUGAUUUUCCCUUGUCUUUGGUAGGAAGUGCUCCACCCUUUGUCCUCCAAAUUACUUGAAAUUAUUCACCAAAUAUCAUUUCUCAAGCUUUAAACUCUAGGAUUGAUUCCUUAAAUCAAGUUAAAUGGGUUGAAUUUGAUGGAUUUGGCUAAGGAUGAAGUUGAAGAAAAACAAAGAGAAGAAGAAGAAGAAGGAGAUAGCCAACGCCAAAGAGAAGAAGAAGGAGAGAAAGUGGUUGCUCAAAUUAUUGAGCACAAGGGUAUUUUAGUCUUUUCUCAACAUUGGAUGGCUAGGAUUGAGUCAAUCUAAUCUAAUGGCUACAAAUAUUCUCCCAAUUAAAUUCCUUCAAAAUAUUAUUUAACACAAUAAAAUCCUCAACUUUACUCCAUAAAAAUAAUUCAUCUAAUUUCCUUAAUUAAUAUAACACCAUUUCAAAUUUACUCCAUAC